UAGAAGGCAUCGAGGCCUGAAAUUGAAGCUUUGACGUCGAAAUCGAGCCUUGCCGGAUUCUGCAAAAUUCUGGAAUUUUUCCGACCACCGAAGCUUUCGAUCGGUAUAUCUCGAGCUACAGACCAUAUUUUUCUGUGAUUCUUGAACAAGUGAGUUCUUCUUGAGUUUCUUAACAACUCUUCAGAAGGAAUCGAAGCCUUAAAUUGACGUUUUUACGUCGAAUUGGAGCUCGCCGUUUUCUGCAGUUUCUCGCCGGUUUCUGGAAAAUUCCGGCCACCUUCAUACUGUUCAAGGUGAUCGACGGUUUGAUUUGGCGGACGAUUCGUGAAAUUGUAUUUUGAGCUGUUAAGAAGACGCAGCGGGAAUUUAGAGCGGGUAAUCCUACAGGACAGGAGAACCAGGACGGUGAUCGUGCGGUUAGAGCAAUGGUUAUAGUUUUACAGCAAUUGUAAUAGUGAGGCGAGUUAAGCUCAUUUGAGCAUUACAAUUUGAUUUGGUGGGAGUGUGCUGUAAUAAAUAACUUGAGGAUUUGGGUUAUUGUAAAUUUGAGAGUUGUGAAGUGUGGUUGUUUGUGAGAAAAAAAUUCAGGAUGUUAGUUGUAAUUUGUUAUUAUUCAUGUUUCGGAUUUGAAUUGAUUA